CAAAAAAGACGUCAUAAAAUAGCCUUAUUGAUGGCAAAAAUAAUUAUUCAUGUCAAAUAAAAGGUCUCAUGGAUGGUAAAAAGUAAUCAUGCCGUGAAGAGUCAGAUAAAAGUGCGCGUGUACAUGUCGGAAGGCUUUGCAAACAUUCUCUUUGGUUUCCGUUCGGAAGGGGAUAUCCUGCUCCGCUUCAUUCUUGCUAUGCCCGCCAUUUUUGACCGGCGAACUUGGAUCAUCUCUCCAAUUUGAGGUUCCUGCAGCACAGGUUCUUGCUGAUCUCGCACCUGCAACGGCGAUCAGGAUCAAUGCGGUGACCCGCGAGCGCCGCAGAGCGCCCGGCCCGGCCCGGACUUUGCUCGGCUGUACCUGCAGUUGGGACACGUGGCCUGCUCCUCCUUGAGGCGAGAGUCAGCCAGCAGCAGGUUCUCUGGUUUGACGUCCCGGUGGACCACGCUCCUGCGGUGGAUGUAUUUAAGCGCCUCACUCACAUCGGCCACCAUGACCGCUGUUUCGUCCUC